CAGUACACGACCAUACAUCUGUGUACUUCACUCCGGCUUUGUUACAUGAACAACGUUGGGAGUUACAGCCACGUUGCAGCCAGUCUUACAACGACAAUGAGCGUUAUCAAGUAGGGAAUUCGGCGCUAGGGGAAUGGUCAUCCAUACGAUUUCAGACUUGCAGUUUCCCGUCACUCGUUUGCCACCCAUUUUCAUCCGGAGGAGUAAUAUCCAUUUGUGGUUGUAAACAGAAAGGCCAAAGCGCGGCUUGGUACAAAAAUGUUGUGAUGAUUGUUAAUCUUCAGUUAAGGCUUUAUGCUCAAGAUCAUGUUUUACAGUUCAAGAAAGAAUAUUUUUCAGUGAGCCAUUUCCGAAGCCAGAAAGCUGGGGUUUUUUGCUUGGGUUGAAACUUGUUUUAUUGUAAAUUUGAUUAGCAAGGACUUUCAUAGAUAAAAGUUGUCUUUGUCAUACCAUGAAAAGGAGAGUGAAAGAGUUCUGGCACAUUGAUUGAAAAAGUGAUCCUGUAUAUAUAUUUCUCAACAAGAAAUGUAGUUAUGAUUCUGAUCUAUACAUACUAAUUUCCUAAUUUACUCUGUGUCCUUUGAUAAAAGUUUAUAAUGUUGAUUUAAAAUAAAGAAUAUCUGAAUUAUUUUU